rnacentral:piRNA from 1 species
UAACUAAAGACAAAAUCUGGUUUGGCAUGC